GACGAACGCUGGCGGCGUGCUUAACACAUGCAAGUCGAACGGAAAGGCCCUGCUUGCAGGGUACUCGAGUGGCGAACGGGUGAGUAACACGUGGGUGAUCUGCCCUGCACUUCGGGAUAAGCUUGGGAAACUGGGUCUAAUACCGGAUAGGAGCCAUCUUUAGUGUGGUGGUUGGAAAGUUUUUUCGGUGUAGGAUGAGCUCGCGGCCUAUCAGCUUGUUGGUGGGGUAAUGGCCUACCAAGGCGGCGACGGGUAGCCGGCCUGAGAGGGUGUACGGCCACAUUGGGACUGGGAUACGGCCCGGACUCCAACGGGAGGCAGCAGUGGGGAAUAUUGAACAAUGGGCGCAAGCCGGAUGCAGCGCCGCCGCGUGGGGGAUAAAGGCCUUCGGGUUGUAAACUCCUUUCGCUGGGGACGAAGCUUUUUGUGCCGGAACCAAGAUAGGAGGCCCCGGCUACUACGUG
rnacentral:rRNA from 1 species